AGCAGCCGCGGUAAUUCCAGCUCCAAUAGCGUAUAUUAAAGUUGCUGCAGUUAAAAGCUCGUAGUUGAAUUUCGGGACUAAUAUGUCGGUCGUGCCUCGGUACGUACUGGCUUAUUGGUUUCUCCUUUCUGAAGAACCAUGAUGUCAUUUAUUUGGUGUCGUGGGGAAUCAGGACUGUUACUUUGAAAAAUUAGAGUGUUUAAAGCAGGCUCACGCUUGAAUACAUUAGCAUGGAAUAAUGAAAUAGGACGUUUGAUUCUAUUUUGUUGGUUUCUAGGAUCGACGUAAUGAUUAAUAGGGAUAGUUGGGGGCAUUAGUAUUCAAUUGUCAGAGGUGAAAUUUUUGGAUUUAUUGAAGACUAACUACUGCGAAAGCAUUUGCCAAGGAUGUUUUCAUUAAUCAAGAACGAAAGUUAGGGAUCGAAGACGAUCAGAUACCGUCGUAGUCUUAACCAUAAACUAUGCCGACUAGGGAUCGGAUGAUGUUAAUUUUUAAUGACUCAUUCGGCGCCUUACGGGAA
rnacentral:misc_RNA from 1 species